GAAAUAACUGGCUACUGAAGGCUUUGGAUUCCUUGGUAUCGGGUAAUUAGCUAAGCCUCUUUACAACCUCCUUAAAGAAACUGCAUCCUGGAUCAACUGUCCUGAUUUGAGACCAAGACCAGAACAUACUUUUUAAUGCCUUUUUGGCAUUAAAAGAGGCCUUACUUAAAGGCCCUGCCCUCAGCUUACCUAUGGAGCAAAAAUUUAACCUGGUUGUCAUUGAUAGAGAAAGAUAGUCCUGGGAGUGGUCACACAAAAGAAUGGACAGCUGAACAGCCAGUGACAUAGCCUGUGUCUAUGCCUCUUAUGAUCUCUCAGGGAUUUUAAAUACAAAAGAGGGAUUAUGGCUCUCAGUUGCUUCCUGAAAUGCCAGGCUUGGGGGUAGGGAUGUGGCUCAAGUGGUAGUGCGCUUGCCUGGCAUGCGUGUGGCCCGGGUUCGAUCCUCAGCACCACAUACACACAAAGAUGUUGUGUCUGCCGAAAACUGAAAAAUAAAUUUUAAAAUUCUCUCUCUCUCUCUCUCUCUCUCUCUUUAAAAAAUAAAAAAAAAAGAAAGAAAGAAAAAGAAAUGCCGGGCUUUACUUCUGGAAGGACCUGUAACUCAAAUAAGGACUUGCUCUAAUUGAAAUCAAACCAAGUUCCUCCCAGAAACACAAGAAGAAAUUCCUGAACCUGAGUUCUACUGAGAAACUGAUGUGAAUCCAUUUUAAGAAAGAAAUAAAUAAAUAACAGCAGCUUCUACCUCAAGGCCUGUCCUAAGGAAGGGGGCGUGACCUGUGUCCUUGGAAAAACCCACAGAGCACUCCUAAGAACAUUCCCAUGCUGCUGAAUUGUUUGUCUGUAAAUAACAGGAGAGGUCUGCAGCGCCAGGUGUCCCUGACUCAGUUAGGCUAGGUGAGGACCCAUAGCAACUCCCCUAGCAAUGUCCAAUCAACAUGAGACAAGGAAAAUACCUGGAAUGCCAGAUGACCCCCAAGUAGUUUAUGGUGGUUGAUAACAUGUUAGAAAAACCAUGUAGGGCUGGGGAUAUAGCUCAGUUGGUAGAGUGCUUGCCUUGCAUGCACAAGGCCCUGGGUUCUAAUCCCUAGCACCACAAAAAAAAAAAAAAAAGAAAAACCAUGUAGUUUAGCACAUACACCUCUUGUGGCCUAAACCAGUGGGUUCAAAUGAAUCCCUCUCUCGUACUAACCAAUCAUACUACCCAACUUGUUCAUGCCAUUGAAUGUGCUAAUCAAUGUUAAGAGUUGUUGUUUGAUUUUCCCGUGGUAUGGAAUGAUUUUCUGUGUGAUGUUGUAAUGCAUAGAGUACCCCCAAAACCUAUAAAAUCUCACUGAACAAAGGACCAGGACUCACUCCCUUGUAAUAAAAGACUCUAGUGUGAUUGCAUCGGAUUCGGCUUCUGGAGGUCUAUUGGGGUCCCACGAAUCUGGCAUUACAUCUGAGGCUUGUCCAGGAUCCCUCAGACCCCAGACCCCCGAACCGAACCGGAGAGUCUAACACCAGUGAGUCUUUUUGUUAUUCGUGUGUCUGUUGUCUGCUUUGUUCUGAAUCUGUUCUAGAAUCUGUAUUCUGUAAUCUGAAUUCUGGGGCUGGCAACUGGCCUUGACAUAGGGUCACCAGCUGGGGCUCUUGGGAGACAUCCCAGACCCCAAUCUGGGGGGGGAUACUCCCCCAAUCUGUUCAUCUGAGGGAAUCUAUGUUUUGGUUUUUUGUCUGUGCCUCUGUUAAGUGUGAUGGCAUUGUUUUACUUUGGACAUAUGCAGUGUACCAAGUUAUGAUCUGCCUUAGUGGAGGUAACUUUAGCUAAAUUUUAGCCUGAAAAUGUCCCUAGUAUGCUUCUCCUGCUUCUCUGAAAGGGACCAAAAUAGAACCGCCAGCUUUUCUAUUUUCACCUCCUGCACCCCUUUGAGCUGUGUUUUAAAGAACUCUGAUAAGCUUUACUCCGCUUUGUUAAAUGGGAUUAGGGAAGCAAUGUUUUCUUGUCUUCCCCUACUAGGCUGACUUGAGUGCACCUACUGCAGAGGGAAAUGCCUGCUGGGGAUCUAAGAACUUUGAUAUCUCCCUUUUUCUUUUUCUCAAAACCCUGUCCUCAUUAUUAAAUUGGCAUUAAUUGGCUUCAAGGACAGGAACCGAACUUUUAGUUACAAAUUUUGACACCUCAGGGGGGACUCCAGAGGAGCCCCCACUCCGCUUUCUUGGGGAAACCUACCACCCUAAACAACUGCAUGCUGAGGAUGUAAGAUGAACUUUUUGAGAGCUGACUACUGAAAAGUUAGGAGAUAUGGAGUGUGCCUGGUGCCUGGGGUCAGACAAAACUAGAGGAGUUAAUCCUGUAAGUAAAAGGAGGGACUGAGGGACUCCCAGCAGCUGCCGGAGCCCUUUUGCUUCAGGAACUCCCUCCUUCCUUCCCAGCACUGUAAGGAUUACUUCACCUAUGUCUACUUAAAGAAAAAAAAAAGGGGUGGGGGGGAGACACUGAAUGCAGUAAAAUUGCCACAUCGAGACUCUUGAUUUUACACUUCUGGUUUCCCCUCUGUGAGAACAUCUGGUCCACUCAUAGGGCGUCUAUGGUGUCACUGGUGUAGGAGUCAUAAUUAAAUGGGAGUUGGAAACUUGGGGAGAUUUUUCUCUUAUCUGGUCUGUUUUAAAGGUUAUUAUAGAUUGUUUCUUGGGGAUGAUAUUGGCUGAAUGUGUGUCUUAAAGAUGAUGUUUUAUUGUAACAAUCUGGUGUCUAAAUGGGUUUUUGAAGCAUUGCAGAAUCUUGCAGUUGAAAGUUGGGUUUAGGUAAUUGUUUAGUUUAUUAUUUCAGAUAAUUCAUGCCAGAGAAUUUAAAUACUUAGGAUGGAAAACUAAAGAACUCUACUUCCAAGUUUGGCAAGUAACUCCCAAUCAUUUAGUUUUAUUUUUUCACCAAUUUUUGAAUUGAGUAGCCUGGGAAGAUUUCACUGGGUGUACCAAUGCAUUAUUAAUUUGGGCAAGGAUAGUAAAUCAUGGUGUGGUAUCUGUUCCCCUCAGUGUGUAGGGCUUGGGGAAAGAAAGUGUUGGAUUGGGGGUUGGUCUGGCUUAUUGAAAUGACAUUGAAUAGCAACAGUCUUGGGAAUUUUUAAAGCUUAAUUUUGGAUAUAGAUGGUAGUGUGUGUUUCUCUUUUGGAACUUAAUACUACUAUAGGAACUUCAGAGCAAAGGAAGUGGCUUAAUGAUCCUGAAGGGAUUUCUUCUGAUGGUAGCUUUUAUAUUAUCAAGUAAGAUCCUAUUUUCAGUUGUUUGUAAGCAAGUUUUUCUAGUGUAGGAAAAAAUUUUCCUUUGGCAAAACAAGAUGUAAGAUAUAAAAUUUUGUGAAUUGUAUCUUAAAUUUGCAUCAUAAUUUUCAACAUCCAAACCUGAAAAUUAUGACUUAUGGUUAAAAUGCCUUAGGCAUGAGGUUUCUGCUCAGAAUUGCAAUUUUCCCUGCUCCUUCCAGACCUCAGCCAGGACUUAAGUUGAAAUGCAAAUAGAAGAAGCCUGCAAGCUCAGUAGGAGACUGAUCUGAGGCCCAAAGAAAAAAAGAGUAGAGAUGUCUUUUACCUGAACUCAAACUAGACUAAACCAAAAAGUAAAUUGUAUGGUAUUUACUAUUUACUGGCCGGUCAUUUUUUCUAGGACUCUUGCUUUUUCUUAGAUUCUGUAUUUUUUGAGCUCAUGAUUUUGAUCCUUCAGACCUAGGUUAAUGUUUUUCUGAUCAGUUCUAUUUUUUAUCAACUGUGGAGUUUUUAAACAUUGUAAAGGAGAUUUCACCUGUGAAAAGCUACAAGGCCUUUACUAUUGUGUUAUGUUUGCACACUUGUGUUAUGUGUUGUAUGUCUAUAUGUGCGUAUGUCCAUAUAUCAUGCACAUGAUAUGAAAAUUGGCAGAUAUAUGAGGAGCCUCAUGAAAUUUUAAAAAAAAUGGAUCCAAAUAUCUUUGAUUCACAUGAUUUAAAUGGUUCAAUUUAAAUUGGGCAAACAGAUAAAAAUGAUAAAAAUAAAGAUGUCUUUAAAAUUAAGCUUACAAGUUUUUCUAGAUGCUAAAAAAACUAAUAAAAUGUUGAUGUCUAUGAAAUGUUUGAUAUGCUUUCAUUCUAGGACUUUUCUUCAACAAGAAAGAAAUGGUUAACACUGUUCAAUACACUUGUCUGAUGUUUUAAUAAAAUAAGUAAAGUAAAUUUGACAUGGGAUUGCUCAUUUAUGAGUACUUUUGUUAGAUAUCUGAUUGAUUUACAAGGUUAAAAUGCAAAAUGUUAAAUAUAUCAUUGAGUACUCUUAACUCUGAAUUGCAUUGAGUAACAUUAUUGAUGUUUUUGUAAGUUGGUAAAUGAAGAAAAAAAGGUUUAAAGUUGUUUUGUCACCACUGACACUCAGACAUCAUGUUUUCAUGAAAUGGUAAACAGAUGUGAUUCUAUAUACAAGGGUUUAUAGAAGAUUUCUUUAUACAAAGGCCCAAAAGUUUCAACUGUUUCAAUUAAGAGUACUAUAAGUAAAAUCCAGUAUUUCUUUUUAUUAAAAUGAAACAAUCUGCCUAAAUUCAGAAAUUUACAAGGAUUUUUUAAAAAUGUGAAUAGAAAAGGAGGUUAACAGAUGGAAAGGAGAAAUUAGAAGGUUCUAGGUAUGGAAAUCAUAUUUAAUAGAAGAGAUAAAAAGUGUUCCUGGAUAAAGAAAGUUUUUAUGUGAUGAAGUAAAUAAGAGAGUUUAAGUAAGUGAUAAAGAAGGUCUGUGUAAGUUUGUUUUUAUAAUCAGUCAUAUGUUAAAAGGACAAAGAUUUCUUAAAACAUUAGUUUACCCAUAACAUUGUGUUUUAUUAAGUUUUGUUUCUUGUUUCUAGAGCAAGUAAUCUUAAAGGAAUUAAACAGCUGGUUAAACAAGGACUGUUAUUUUAGAGAAUUAUACCAUGUUAUUUCUUUAAAAACUAAACUUGGUUAUUAUAAAAACACCAAUGAAAUUGUGGUGCUAUUAAUAUGUUCAUAUCUUCCAGGUAUACAAGUCUGUAAGGUAGAAGCUUUAAAAGAGCAUGAUAUCAAUCCAGUGUUCUAAAGUUGUAUGGUAAUUUUAGACUUAAAAGAAAAAACAUUUGGAGAUUUAUUUAUAUCAUUUGAUGUUCUGUAACUGGACCUGUUAUCAAUAAGAUAUGUAAGUUUUAUGUUACUUUAUUCACUGGGGUACAAUUUAAAUGUAUUUUUAAGCUAAUGAGGGCCUAUCUGUGUAAAGGUUAAUAUUGUAAAGCAUAAAAGUACUUUGCUACUUUUCUACAAAAGGUUAAAAGCUUUCAGCCUUUCUUUAAUUCAUGUUUUAGAUGUGAUAUCAUAUUGUGUUAGCUAAUAUUCAUGUGAACUUGAGCAACAAUUUAUGUAAAUUUUGUAAAAUGACGUUUAAAAAACAAAGAUCAGCUUCAGAACUACAGCACUUAAGAUUUAUGAAGAGCCCCGCCUUACCUGAGAUAAGGCUCUGUGUCCCAUCUUACUACAUGUGAGAAUGACUAUGAAAGAAGUAGGCCAGAUUUCAGUACAUUUAAGGUUGUGUCCAAAAGUUGGUUUUUGUCAAGAUUACUAGGAUCUCAAACAGGGGAUAUGAUGUAUAACUCUGCCAAAGUUCAAGGUAGCUAUUACAUGAACUAAAUACGUUUUUACUCAUGUUAAUUUUGUUCUCUAGUUUUUGUAUAAACGGUUUAAAGAUGGAUUGCCUGUUAAUGUUUUGCAGAGGUACUGCUUUAAGAACACACAACCUGGGUUAAUUUAAGAUAAUAAGUUAUCACCUACAAGAUAGAGAGAUAGACAUUAAAGCCCAGUACUCUGUUGAAAUUUAUUUGCUGGAUGUUUAAGAUUAAGAUUUAAAAUUAAAGUUAAAUUAAAAGCGCCAAGAAAACCAAUAUUUGGCUCUUGCCCUCUGAGUCAGUCUGAAUCCAGGGAACAGGGAUUCUUCUAAAGAGCUUUGCAACUCUGGGCCACAUAACCUCCCGAUCAGGGAGAUUAAUGAGACCACUGGAGAACAGAAAGCCAAUCAGUGCAUUUGCUAUGAAUAGGAGGGUCAUCGGAGAAGGGAGACAUCCCUGAUGCUUCCAAGGGAAGCCACAUGGUCAAGCAAGACCUGGACCCAUCUUAGCGCAAAUGGCACUAGCAGAACUGAGAAUCUGCUCCAAAGUUCCCCCAGAAUUCCCAUGGAAACUCAGCUGACUGUUAACAAUAGAUAGAAACAAAAGUCACUUUGACUGCUUCAUCUUAAACACUUAGCAAAAACACUUAAAACCAAAACAGUUAUUCCUGGGCAUUUUAAAUGAUAAUAAUUUUAAAUGUAACUUAAGGUAUACACCUUGUGCUAGCCCCCAAGAAUAAGUAAGACUGGAGGCUGCAGAAGAGAUUCUUAUGCAGGAAUGCCUAAUAAUAUCAAAAUAAACUAUCAAGAGGAACUGCCAGAGUAGUUUUUAGUUUAAGGCCUACAGAUAUUCCUAACCUACACAGGGAGGCUUGGUGUUUGCUAGUAUGAUUAAUUAACAAAAUUAAAGGUUUCUCUAUUAGACACAGAGAUCAUACUAGUAAAAGGAUUUUGCAAGAUGACAUUAAAUUAUUAAACUGUAUCUUAUAGGGAAGGACAUCUAUAACACUAAAAGUUAAAUGUUAUGUUUACAUGCCUGAUAUCUGGGGAUGUUAAAGCUUGGUGAGGGAACUUCUAUACAGUGACAUGUUCUAGCUGCUGCAACAUUUAUUCAGUACUCAUGGUUUUUAUUUCUCUUAUAGAAGCACCCAUCCCCAGAUGACUUUACAACCUGUUCUUCCCCAACCAGACUUCAAACCGAAGUGACUUCUAAAAGGGAACUCAUGCCCCCACAUCGUCUCCCACGUCAUAGAGCCCCCUCAUGUUCGAUGCCCCAUAUCAGCUCUGAAGCAGCCAGAACAAGCCAUCACGCCUUCUCCUUACAGCAAUAAGGAGUUCCUAAAAUUAGAGGAGGAAUGAAGCCAGAAAUAGAUACAGUGUAGAUAGGUAAAUUGAGUCAGGAGGCCAAUUUUGAGUGAGUCUGGAAAGUUGAAGACUGUCCCCUGAGGUUUACUGUAUACUCUAAAAUUACCCUAGUGUCAACCUUAGUAGGACCACUUGUGAACAAGCUAGUGGCUUUCAUCAAGGACAGAGUAAACACAGUUUCAGAUGAUGGUUCUGCGUACCCAUUAUCAAGUCCUAGACCCAGAAGGAGAAUCCUACCAAGAUGUAGGGCCUGCCCAUAUAGACCCCCAACUAAGGGAACCACCCAAGUUUCCAGACAAAGGGGGGAAUGAGAAACUGAUGUGACUCCAUUUUUAAAAACAACAGCAGCUUCUAAAGGAAGGGGGCGUGACCCAUGUCCUUGGAAAAACCCACAGAGCACUCCUAAGCACAUUCCCACCCUGCUGAGUUGUCUGUAAAUAACAGGAGAGGUCUGCGGUGCCAGGUGUCCCUGACUCAGUUCGGCUAGGUGAGGACCCAUGAGACAUGGGUCCAUGAGCAUGAGACAGGGAAAAUACCUGGAAUGCUAGAUGACCCCCAAGUAGUUUGUGGUGGUUGAUAACAUGUUGGAAAACCAUGUAGUUUAGCCCGUACACCCCUCGUGGCCUAAAUCAAUCAGUUCAAACGAAUCCCCCUCUUGUACUAACCAAUCACCCCUACCCAACUUGUUCCUACCAUUGAAUGUGCUAAUCAAUGUUAAGAGUUGUUGCUUGGUUUUCCCACAGUAUGGAAUGAUUUGCUGUGUGAUGUUGUGACGCAUAGAGUACCCCCCCAAAACCUAUAAAAUCUCACUGAACAAAGGACCGGGACUCACUCCGUGGGACCACUGCGUCGGGAACAGUUGUGAGUCCAGGCUCCAGCUUGUAAUAAAGACUCUUGUGUGAUUUCAUUGGAUUCAGCUUCUGGAGGUCUAUUGUGGUCCCACGAAUCUGGCAUUACCCUACAAGUCCUAGCUGUAAACUACUCAGCCUGAGGAGACCUUCAUAGCCUUCCCCUGUCUAUCCCGACAGCACCUUGUUUACACAUGGGAGUUCCUUUAUUGAACAAGCAGAACACAAGGCUUGAAUACACCAUGG
rnacentral:lncRNA from 1 species